rnacentral:rRNA from 1 species
ACUUGUUCUUUAAAUGAGGACUCGUAUGAAUGGCACCACGAGGGUUAUACUGUCUCCUUUUUUCAAUCAGUGAAACUAAUCUCCCCGUGAAGAAGCGGGGAUGAAGAUAUAAGACGAGAAGACCCUAUGGAGCUUUAAACUUAAUAGCAAAUACUAUCAUUAAUUAAACCUUCAGAACAUAAACCUUUAUUCCAGUAUUAUGACUAUUAGUUUUAGGUUGGGGUGACCGCGGAGCAAAAAUUAACCUCCACAUUGAACGGGACUUACUCCUGAGCAAAAAGCCACGACUUUAAGCACCAACAAAUUGACAUUAAUUGACCCAAUAUUUUGAUCAACGAACCAAGUUACCCUAGGGAUAACAGCGCAAUCCACUUCAAGAGCUCCUAUCGACAAGUGG